rnacentral:rRNA from 1 species
GGAAGGCUCGUCCGCUCUGGGUUAGUCGGGUCCUAAGCUGAGGCCGACAGGCGUAGGCGAUGGAUAACAGGUUGAUAUUCCUGUACCACCUAUAAUCGUUUUAAUCGAUGGGGGGACGCAGUAGGAUAGGCGAAGCGUGCGAUUGGAUUGCACGUCUAAGCAGUAAGGCUGAGUAUUAGGCAAAUCCGGUACUCGUUAAGGCUGAGCUGUGAUGGGGAGAAGACAUUGUGUCUUCGAGUCGUUGAUUUCACACUGCCGAGAAAAGCCUCUAGAUAGAAAAUAGGUGCCCGUACCGCAAACCGACACAGGUAGUCAAGAUGAGAAUUCUAAGGUGAGCGAGCGAACUCUCGUUAAGGAACUCGGCAAAAUGACCCCGUAACUUCGGGAGAAGGGGUGCUCUUUAGGGUUAACGCCCAGAAGAGCCGCAGUGAAUAGGCCCAAGCGACUGUUUAUCAAAAACACAGGUCUCUGCUAAACCGUAAGGUGAUGUAUAGGGGCUGACGCCUGCCCGGUGCUGGAAGGUUAAGAG